rnacentral:SRP_RNA from 1 species
AUAUGGGCGCCGGUUGGCAGGUAAUUGCCCAACUCCGUCAGGUCCGGAAGGAAGCAGCGGUAAGUGAAAGCUUGUGCAGCCGGUUGCCCAAUUUUU